rnacentral:rRNA from 1 species
GACGAACGCUGGCGGCGUGCUUAACACAUGCAAGUCGAACGGAAAGGCCCUGCUUUUGUGGGGUGCUCGAGUGGCGAACGGGUGAGUAACACGUGAGUAACCUGCCCUUGACUUUGGGAUAACUUCAGGAAACUGGGGCUAAUACCGGAUAGGAGCUCCUGCUGCAUGGUGGGGGUUGGAAAGUUUCGGCGGUUGGGGAUGGACUCGCGGCUUAUCAGCUUGUUGGUGGGGUAGUGGCUUACCAAGGCUUUGACGGGUAGCCGGCCUGAGAGGGUGACCGGCAAAAUGGGAACGGAGAUACGGCCCAGACUCCUACGGGAGGAAGCAGUGGGAAUAUUGCACAAUGGGCGGAAGCCUGAUGCAGCAACGCCGCGUGCGGGAUGACGGCCUUCGGGUUGUAAACCGCUUUCGCCUGUGACGAAGCGUGAGUGACGGUAAUGGGUAAAGAAGCACCGGCUAACUACGUG